rnacentral:misc_RNA from 1 species
UGACCACAUUGCCACUGGUUUUGCAUAUCUGGGCAUGUGUAUCUCUGGAGCAUCCGUGCCUGCAAAUUGUUUUGCCUCUUUCAAUAUGAGUUCAGCUAUACAUGGGCAAAAAGGCAUUGUUCUGCAUGCUUCUCAAGUUUCUUCUUGUCCAGAUGCACAGUUGGUUUCCUGUUCACAAGUGCAUCACAAUACUUAUUGCUCAAAUCAGCCAUUUUCAAAUUCCAAGGCAGUGAACCUUGAUACGACAUACCUUGAUACACCAUUCUCUCUACCGUCACGGGAAGAUUCUUGUUGGAUGUUUGAGGAUGAUAAAGGGAGGAAACAUGGACCACAUUCUCUUCAGGAACUUUAUUCCUGGCAUCAGUAUGGAUAUCUCGGGGAUUCAUUAAUGAUAUAUCAUAAUGAAAAUAAGUUUAGACCCUUGCCAUUGCUAUCUGUUAUCAAUGCUUGGAGAAUGG